rnacentral:tRNA from 1 species
GGGAUGUAGCUCAGUGGAAGAGCACUUGCCUAGCAUGCACAAGGCCCUGGGUUCGAUCCCCAGUACCCA